rnacentral:rRNA from 1 species
UACGGAGGGUGCGAGCGUUAAUCGGAAUUACUGGGCGUAAAGAGUGCGUAGGUGGUUUGAUAAGUUAACUGUAAAAGCCCUGGGCUCAACCUGGGAAAGCCAGUUAAGACUGUGAGACUAGAGUAUAGGAGAGGGUAGUGGAAUUUCCGGUGUAGCGGUGAAAUGCGUAGAGAUCGGAAGGAACACCAGUGGCGAAGGCGGCUACCUGGCCAGAUACUGACACUGAGGCACGAAAGCGUGGGGAGCAAACAGG